AGGAAUUAAAAUUUUUAAAUUUAAUUAUUUUUUUGUUAAUUUAUAUUUGAAAAUAUGAUGAAUAAAAUAAUUUAAUUUUUAAACUAAAAAGAUAUUUGAAGUGAUUCAUAUUAGAGAUUUGUUAGAGGAACUAUCUCUUUCUUUGUAUGUCAGCCCAUGAAAAUCUGUUUAAAUUCAAUAAUCAAAAUUAAGGCUUUUAUAAAGGAAAAUCAAAGAAAUAUAAAUAUAAACCUCAAUUUUUAUAUUUAUUUUUCAUGCAUGAAAAUUUUAUACAUUAUUGCCUGUGAAAAUACAACUAUUUUUUAAAAAACAAAUUAAUCAUAAAAGCUUUGAUAUUUCUCUUAGAUAUAUUUUAAUUACAACUAUCCCUCUGCUCUGUUUCGCUCUGUUCUUCCGCCACCGCGUCAUAUCCGCUCUACGGUGCGAUCCACGUGGCGGUUCUAUACUCAUCAGAUCCACGAGCUUGUCCCCAACCAUUUGGGAUAAAAUUAAUGGCACAUCUUCAUCAGCCUUACGAUCCUUAUUACCAGCUGCAGCCACCACCACCACCAAUUCGGGGCGGGAUCAACACUCUGUUCGGCUCCGGAUUUCCAGACGACUUCAAGGCCAGCGAGAUUUACAACCUCUUUCGUCCACGCCACGGCUUUAACUCUUGCCAGAUCAAGUACAACGGCCACGGCAACCGGGUGCCAUCAUUUCAUUUUUUAUUGCAUUAAAAUUUCCCUAUACAACUACGGAACUUAGGCUUUGAUGGAAAAUCUAAUAUCUUCUCAGAAAAUUUUGCAACUUAGGAUCCAUUUAGUUUGCCUUGAAAAUAGAAUGCAAAUGAAAAUGGAUUACACUCUUCACAUCCCAUUCCAAUUCAUCUUCAGAGUCGAACUUAGCUUAAUAGUGCUGCUGAAAAAUAUUCUGGAAAUGUGUAAAAUACACCUUUCUGAACAGAUUUUCCUUUGUCGCUUACAUUUUGGGAGUAAAAUUUGAUCCUCAAACUGGAUCCACUCUGCGUACAGAACUUGCAAGAUCAAAAUUCAAGGAGGAAAUGUAAACCAGGGACUGGAGCCUAUGAUGCCCAAUAAUCAUAGUGAUGAUGAUGUUUCUUGAUUUAUUUUUAAAUUGAUAUUUGAUGAAUAUGAACAGAGUAUUAAUCUCAUACUUCCUUUCUCUUGCACUCAUGAUUGAAGUUGCCUGUCAAGUUAUUAGCCUGCUAAGUUGGAUGCAUUCAAUUCUCUUAACUUCAUUUGUGUUAGCAGUUAUAUACAUGGGAUGGGAUUUCACAUAAGUUCUCUGAAUUUUCUCGUGUGGACUCACAUGUCAUGUUGGAGUAUAUUUCCACAUGCAGGAGGCAGUGACUCGGAUGAAGCGCCUGCAACUGACAUUGCUGCUGCUUCUGCCAACCAGCGUGAUUUAGUGAGUGUAAAUAGAUUUAUGGUACUUCAAAAGAUGCACUUUAUUGUUUGUUGAAAACUUCAGUUUCUCUAACUUGUCUACCAUUCAGGUGCAUAACAUUCAUCAAGUUAUUGCAUUUCAUUCGGUUUAUCUGUGUUUUUUUCUAUUUUUAAGUUGAAGUGAGGUAGCUGUAGAUCCAGAAAAUGUUGUAGUAGCUGCAGAUAUAAGUGAAUGGCUCUUGAAUUAGUCAUAUGUCAGAUAUGCACCAAAUGGAAGAAAAGAAGCAAACCUUUCUUUGCAUCUGCUUAGGGAUGGUUAUAUAUGACAUGCUUCCAUUGCCAGUUAUUGUCAUUGAUUUCACUUGGAAUGCCUUGAGACUCUUAAUCUUCAGAUUGCCCAUUAUGUGAUUAGAAGUCUGCUGAGUCCCUGAGAUGAGUAUACUAUGAUUGCAUAAGCAAUGCUUUGUUUUAUUGCACUACCAAAAUGAUUACCAACUUGGUAAUCUUUAUUUGAGAGUUAUAUUGUCUGAA